GUUACACAGAAUGGCCUUGAAUUUAACACCCAUCCUCCUGCCUUAGUCUCCCAGAUAGCAGGGGUAACAGAUGACAUUUUGGAACACACCCCAAGAAUUGUUUUACCCUAUUAUGAGUGCCAUUUGUGCUGUGGAAUAUUUGCUUGACUAGACCAAGAUAUUUUGUGAGGAAGUCAGAAUCAUCUCAUGAAAAAGACCACAUCAACAGUUUUGUCUAUGAAGGAGAGAGAAAUUUGGAGGGUAAAAGCAGAAACUAGUCCGGAAGUAGAUUUCUCCAGUAAAUGGAUUUUAUUUUGCCACAUGGUUCUCAUUUUGCCAGGAGACUGGUGAAUUUUUUGUUAAGAACAUAUCCAAGAACAUAUCCUUUAUUACCCUAAAUUUUAAAAUAAAGAGGAUAAAGUAAGAAUUGUGCCCAGAUCAAUGAUAUCAGAGGAGAAAAAGAUUUUGAAUCUACAUUUUUUUUUCUUUUAAAUUUUUACUUUGGAACUUUUACCAAAAAGAAAGUUAAUAUACUAUUCCUCAAAUACAAUGACAUUAUCUUCAGCUAAUAUUGAUUUAUUUAUAUAUUUUCAGCUAAUUGAUUUAACAACAUUUCAGGAUCAUUAUUGGAUAGAUGGACGCCGUGUUUUAUGUCUCAUGCUUUUUGUUCCAUCUGCACAUCCAGUCUGUCACUAGACAGACACUCAUUAACACAUAACUUAUGUUAUAGAAAGGUCAUAAUGAAGGUGUCUCAGCCCUGCCUUAUGGUUGAAUUGACCCCAUUGUCCUUCCAUGCCCAUAAGUAUUCAAUAAAUUGCCAUGUUUAAAAAUA